CCAUGUAUCUUCAAGCUAAGCAAGUAAAGAAGAAGGCUGGAUAUAUGUGGAACAUUUCAAAUUUCGAGAUUCAAAUAAGUUUUAUCAUCAACUUCAUCAUUAUUUUUGUGGUACUUUAUUUACAGUCUUCCUGGAACAGAGAACUAAAUCCUAAUUCAGAACAUUUAUAUCUGCCUAUUAUAAACAUGUUACUGUAUGACGACACUAUUAAUUAUUAAAAUGAGAGCUUGCAAAANNNN
rnacentral:lncRNA from 1 species